AUUGAACGCUAGCGGGAUGCUUUACACAUGCAAGUCGAACGAGUGGCGGACGGGUGAGUAAUAUAUCGGAACGUGCCCAGUAGUGGGGGAUAAAUACUCGAAAGAGUGGCUAAUACCGCAUAAUAUUGGAGCGGCCGAUAUCGGAUUAGUUAGUUGGGUGGGUAAAGGCUCACCAAGGCAACGAUCCGUAGCUGGUUUGAGAGGAUGACCCUCCACACUGGGACUGAGACACCGCCCAGACUCCUUCGGGAGGCAGCAUUUGGGAAUUUUUGACAAUGUGGGAAACCCUGAUCCCGCCAUCCCGCGUGUAUGAGAAGGCCUUCUGGUUGUAAAGUACUUUUGGCAGAGAAGCGGUAUCUGCAGAAUAAGCACCGGCUAACUACGUGCCAGCAGCCGCGGUAAUUC
rnacentral:rRNA from 1 species